rnacentral:lncRNA from 1 species
UUUCCAUUCCACCCACACUUUGUCAGUUUUCCCACUUCUAUCUCACUCACUUUUAUCUCUCAAUUUUCACACACUCCCUCUUCCUAGGAGCCCUAGCUCUUUUCUCCUUCCUCUUCCGCUAUCUUUCCACGGCAACCACUGCCUCCCUCUUCGGUCUCUCCUUAAUUAACGGCCUCCUCCCUCUCGCCGGCACCAUCACCUCUGCCUGCAAGCUCUCUCUCUCUCUCUCACUCACAUAUAUUUUUGUGGCUCAUCUCGGAGGUGCAACCUGGCGUUGACUCAUCGGAGGAAGGUGAAGAACAUGGUGUCGACGAGAUGAGUGAGUCGGCGAAGGUUUUGUACAUAGUGGUGGUGGAUGGUGAGGAAGAUUUGUUAGGUUGUUUGUGAUUGAUUGGUUCACUGUUGAAUCCCAAGGUUCCUGGGAAGAUAAAUCUUGUACUGGAGUACUGCAGAGGAGGUGAUCUUUCUAUGUAGUAUGUACAUUCAACGCCAUGGCAUGGAAAAGUACCUGAAGCUCUUGCAAAGCACUUCAUGCAGCGGCUAGCUAAAGCUAUAGAUGAGUAUGCCAGUACGUCUUAAAUCUAAGGCAGCAUAAUCAAAUGCUGAAGCAGCAAAUGCGGAUCCUAGGUUGGAGGCUAUCACGGAGAGAAUGUUGAGCAAGUGUGCAAGCUUAUGUGCUUUUAAAUGUAAAAUUUGUUCCCCUAGCUUUCUGACCAUUUUUUUCAUUUUAGGUGUAAGUGCCUUUUUUUGUAAAUUGUAAGGAUCAUGAUCAAAUACAUAAACUAAUGUAAUGCCCCAAUGUUACAACUACUCUUGAAUCAUUUUAUUUUGAGAAAUGUGGAUUG